AUAGUAAUUUGGAACCAAAACUCAGGACGUCCCAGGAGAGGCUAGAUUAGGAAUUCUUUGAUUUGGGAUCACGAAAGUGAAGUAUCCAUAUUUUAACAGAAUGAUUAGUGGCAGAGGAAUCAUCUAAGAAAACUGAGAAGGCUCUGCCAGAGUAAUGGGAAGAAAACUAGAUGAGAAAGCACUUUUCUGGAAGACAUGCUCCUCUGAACUAUGGAGAGGAGAGGAGAGGGAAGAAGUUAUUUGUGAUGUCAUUUGCCUGUGUCAUGGCCUGCCUUCCCUAGAUAUUGUCAUAAUGUGAGCAUCACACCUAAGGUACUGAAAUAGAGUGCUGGCUGUUCCUUACGGACAUCUCUGAUGGUAAAUAAAUACACAGAGAUUGCUAGUGCCUUUAACAGAGCAAUACAUUAUAAGCACAGUUAUCUCAUUUUUAAACAAACUCAUUUAAUAAAUACCUUUGCUUUUAUUA